rnacentral:rRNA from 1 species
UACGAAGGGGCUAGCGUUGUUCGGAAUUACUGGGCGUAAAGGCGCGUAGGCGGCCAUUCAAGUUAGAUGUGAAAGCCCUGGGCUCAACCUAGGAAUUGCAUUUGAUACUGUUUGGCUUGAGUUCGGGAGAGGUGAGUGGAAUUCCCAGUGUAGAGGUGAAAUUCGUAGAUAUUGGGAAGAACACCAGUGGCGAAGGCGGCUCACUGGACCGACACUGACGCUGAGGCG